rnacentral:rRNA from 1 species
GAUGAACGCUAGCGGCAGGCUUAAUACAUGCAAGUCGAGGGGCAGCAUGACUGUAGCAAUACAGUUGAUGGCGACCGGCAAACGGGUGCGGAACACGUACAGAACCUUCCUUCGAGCGGGGAAUAGCCCAGAGAAAUUUGGAUUAAUACCCCAUAGUAUACUGGAGAGGCAUCUCUUUGGUCUUAAAGAUUUAUCACUUGAAGAUGGCUGUGCGGCUGAUUAGGUAGUUGGCGGGGUAACGGCCCACCAAGCCUGCGAUCAGUAACUGGUGUGAAAGCACGACCAGGCACACGGGCAAUGAGACACGGGCCCGACUCCUACGGGAGGCAGCAGUAAGGAAUAUUGGUCAAUGGACGAAAGUCUGAACCAGCCAUGCCGCGUGGAGGAUGAAGGUCCUCUGGAUUGUAAACUUCUUUUAUAUGGGACGAAAAAAGGCUUUUCCAAGUCGUCUGACGGUACCAUAUGAAUAAGCACCGGCUAACUCCGUGCCAGCCGCCGCCGUAAUAC